GCUGCCAAGCCUUUCACACUCUCUUCUCUGAAAUCUCAGCGCUGCCAGCGACCAGCUGGGGAUCUGAGCAUCGGCAAUCUGCUGGCCAGCUCUGCCCAACCCCCCCACUCGAGAGGGUUCGUUUCUGAAAGGGCACCGUUGAGCGUCUCUUAAUGCAUGCUGCGGAGUGGGGAAGGCAGUGUGUGUUAUUACGGGGUGGAAACCGUCGCCAAUCAAGGAGCACACUUUUGACCAUGGCAGAACUGUAGCGUUGGUGUCCGGUCUGGAACCAGCAAGGCCUUUCCACCACACUGAAGAAGGCACCAGCUGAAAACGUUUGUAGUCUGCUUGACUUAUGGUUAUGAGUUUUACCUUUCAACCACACUGCCUCCAGCCUGCACACUGAAGACAAGACCACACUGCCUCCAGCCUGCACACUGAAGACAAGACCACACUGCCUCCAGCCUGCACACUGAAGACAAGACCACACUGCCUCCAGCCUGCACACUGAAGACAAGACCACACUGCCUCCAGCCUGCACACUGAAGACAAGACCACACUGCCUCCAGCCUGCGCACUGAAGACAAGACCACACUGCCUCCAGCCUGCGCACUGAAGACAAGACCACACUGCCUCCAGCCUGCACACUGAAGACAAGACCACACUGCCUCCAGCCUGCACACUGAAGACAAGACCACACUGCCUCCAGCCUGCACACUGAAGACAAGACCACACUGCCUCCAGCCUGCGCACUGAAGACAAGACCACACUGCCUCCAGCCUGCGCACUGAAGACAAGACCACACUGCCUCCAGCCUGCGCACUGAAGACAAGACCACACUGCCUCCAGCCUGCACACUGAAGACAAGACCACACUGCCUCCAGCCUGCGCACUGAAGACAAGACCACACUGCCUCCAGCCUGCGCACUGAAGACAAGACCACACUGCCUCCAGCCUGCACACUGAAGACAAGACCACACUGCCUCCAGCCUGCACACUGAAGACAAGACCACACUGCCUCCAGCCUGCACACUGAAGACAAGACCACACUGCCUCCAGCCUGCACACUAAAGACAAGACCACACUGCCUCCAGCCUGCACACUGAAGACAAGACCACACUGCCUCCAGCCUGCACACUGAAGACAAGACCACACUGCCUCCAGCCUGCACACUGAAGACAAGACCACACUGCCUCCAGCCUGCACACUGAAGACAAGACCACACUGCCUCCAGCCUGCACACUGAAGACAAGACCACACUGCCUCCAGCCUGCACACUGAAGACAAGACCACACUGCCUCCAGCCUGCACACUGAAGACAAGACCACACUGCCUCCAUCCUGCACACUGAAGACAAGACCACACUGCCUCCAGCCUGCACACUAAAGACAAGACCACACUGCCUCCAGCCUGCACACUGAAGACAAGACCACACUGCCUCCAGCCUGUACACUAAAGACAAGACCACGCUGCCUCCAGCCUGCACACUGAAGACAAGACCACACUGCCUCCAGCCUGCGCACUGAAGACAAGACCACACUGCCUCCAGCCUGCACACUGAAGACAAGACCACACUGCCUCCAGCCUGCGCACUGAAGACAAGACC